AACGCACAUUGCGCCCGCCAGUACUCUGGCGGGCAUGCCUGUUCGAGCGUCAUUUCAACCCUCAAGCCCUGCUUGGUGUUGGGGCCCUACGGCUGCCGUAGGCCCUGAAAGGAAGUGGCGGGGCUCGCUGCAACUCCGAGCGUAGUAGAAUCCUAUCUCGCUAGGGAGGCGCGGCGCGCUCCAGCCGUUAAAGACCCCAUCUUUAACCAAGGUUGACCUCGGAUCAGGUAGGAAUACCCGCUGAACUUAA
rnacentral:misc_RNA from 2 species